rnacentral:misc_RNA from 1 species
GAAAUGCGAUAAGUAGUGUGAAUUGCAGAAUUCAGUGAAUCAUCGAAUCUUUGAACGCACAUUGCGCCCCUCGGCAUUCCGUGGGGCAUGCCUGUUCGAGCGUCAUCUACACCCUCAAGCUCUGCUUGGUGUUGGGCGUCUGUCCCGCCUCCGCGCGCGGACUCACCCCAAAUGCAUUGGCAGCGGUUCCUUGCCCCACUCUUUGCGCAGCACAUUGCCAUUCGAGGCGGCGGCGGCCCGCGUCCAACAAGCUCAACCCCCCCGUCUUUGACCUCGGAUCAGGUAGGGAUACCCGCUGAACUUAAGC